GGGGUCGAGCCUGGGCCGAACGGGCGGCGGCGCGCACUCUGCGUAGGCCUCUGCGCCUCGGGCGAGCGGGUGAGAGAGGCCGCGGCGGCUAGCGCGGGGAUGUCGAGGAGCUCGAAGGUGGUGUUGGGCCUCUCGGUGCUGCUGACGGCGGCCACAGUGGCCGGCGUACAUGUGAAGCAGCAGUGGGACCGGCAGAGGCUUCGUGACGGAGUUAUCAGAGACAUUGAGAGGCAAAUUCGGAAAAAAGAAAACAUUCGUCUUUUGGGAGAACAGAUUAUUUUGACUGAGCAACUUGAAGCAGAAAGAGAGAAGACGUUAUUGGCAAAAGGAUCUCAAAAAUCAUGACUUGAAUGUGAAGUAUCUAUUGGACAGACAACACGAGUUUGUAUGUGUGUUGAUGGAGAGUAGCUUAGUAGUAUCUUCAUAUUUUUUCUGGUCACUGUCCUUUUACACUUAAUCAAAUAAAGGACAGUGGAUCAUCUGUUGUAAAUUACUGCUUUCAGGGUCCCUUAUAUCUGAAUGAAGGAGUGUGGGCAGACACUCUUUGGAAGAGUCUCUGUCUGUGUGAUCCUGGUAGAAGCCCUGUUAAAGUCACUGUCCAGAGCUUAGGAUUGUUACUGUGAACCACUGCUGAGCUUGUGAGAAGGAAGGGAUGGAUAGUAGCAUCCACCUGAGUAGUCUGAUCAGUCGGCAUGAUGACGAAGCCACGAGAACAUCGACCUCAGAAGGACUGGAGGAAGGUGAAGUGGAGGGAGAGACGCUCCUGAUUGUCGAAUCCGAGGACCAGGCAUCCGUGGACUUAUCGCAUGACCAGAGUGGGGAUUCCCUCAACAGCGAUGAAGGAGACGUGUCGUGGAUGGAGGAGCAGCUGUCCUACUUCUGUGACAAGUGCCAAAAAUGGAUACCAGCCAGUCAGCUGAGGGAACAGCUCAGUUACCUUAAGGGUGAUAAUUUUUUUAGGUUUACUUGUUCGGAUUGCUCAGCAGAUGGCAAGGAGCAGUAUGAAAGGCUGAAGCUGACAUGGCAGCAAGUCGUCAUGUUGGCAAUGUACAACUUGUCUCUAGAAGGAAGUGGACGUCAAGGUUAUUUCAGGUGGAAAGAAGAUAUCUGUGCUUUUAUUGAGAAACAUUGGACUUUUUUACUAGGGAACAGG